AUUGAACGCUGGCGGAAUGCUUUACACAUGCAAGUCGAGCGGCAGCGCGGCCUUCGGGCUGGCGGCGAGCGGCGCACGGGUGAGUAAUGCAUCGGAACAUGCCCAGUCGUGGGGGAUAACACUUCGAAAGAAGUGCUAAUACCGCAUACGUCCUGAGGGGGAAAGCGGGGGAUCGCAAGACCUCGCGCGAUUGGAGUGGCCGAUGUCAGAUUAGCUAGUUGGUGGGGUAAAGGCCUACCAAGGCGACGAUCUGUAGCUGGUCUGAGAGGAUGAUCAGCCACACUGGGACUGAGACACGGCCCAGACUCCUACGGGAGGCAGCAGUGGGGAAUUUUGGACAAAGGGGGCAACCCUGAUCCAGCCAUUCCGCGUGAGUGAAGAAGGCCUUCGGGUUGUAAAGCUCUUUCGGCAGGAACGAAACGGUGGGCUCUAACAUAGUCCGCUAAUGACGGUACCUGAAGAAGAAGCACCGGCUAACUACGUG
rnacentral:rRNA from 1 species